ACUUUUCUAGGCAAAUAAACAAAGCACAGGGAUGAAAUUAGUGAGUAAUGUAGCCAAAACUAGGAUUGCAUUCUGUUUGAAUGUUCUGUGCAUGCCAUGAAAUGGGUCAAAUUUCUCAAUUUUUCAUUAAAAAUGAGGUGGGUGGGGGGAAAGAUCAAGGGCCAUAGUUUCACAAGUGAAGAAGCCAGCCUUGUCUUUGGUUGUAUUUUCAAUGUAUAUUGCCUAUGCUAUGACACUGACACAAAAAGGCUUUCUUGUGUCACUUUCUGUUUUGAUGCAAUGGAUUUGACUGUUUGCGGCCUUUCGGAACUCGAAAUUUGGUCAAAAAUAUAUCCCCUGCCCCCUUAAUAGCAAAACGCAAAAUUUUAAAAUUGUGUAUAUCAUACGAAAAUUGAUACAUGUAUUCCACAAAUGUGUUGCGGUAACAAAUCGAACAUAAUUUUGCAUAUAUCUUUUAACCGCUAUGGUUGAGAUUAUGGAAAACAAAGGGAGGUAAUAAUGUUAAAACCAUUGCUAAUUUUAGGAAAAUUUCACGUGUGCUGGUUUCGCACUGGAAAACAAUGUUUAAACUCAUAUUUGUGUAAUAGCAUCUACAUUUGCACAUUUUCUGAGCUUGAAUACUUAAAUAAGCAAGAUAAGUCUGCAGUUUUGUAGAAAAAGUUGGUAAAAAUAGGAAAAUUAUGCAAAAUAGUGGUUUGUAACAUGCCGCAAACAUAAAUUCUUUUUUUCUUCUUAUUUGAAGUCAUUAUGGCAACAUAUUUCUUCAUGUGACACCUAACCGAUGAAGAAAGACUAAGAUUGAAGCAUUUAUUUGAUGAUAAAUACGAAAUAAUAAGUGAAUGCCACAUCUGGAAGGGGGCGUACACUCCAAGCGUCUAUGGUGUUCUGCGGUGUAGUUUCCGCGGCAAAAGGCUAAGGCUUAAAGCUCACCAUGCACUAUAUUAUCUUGAAAAUAAACAUGCCAUGUCAUCAAAAAUGCAUGUGUCACAUUUAUGCCACAGUAAACUUUGUGUCAACAUCAAGCACUUAAGUUAUGGGCCUCAAAGCAUUAACAAAAGGAAAAUAUGUGCUCAUGAAGGUUCCUUAUGCACUUGAAAAUGUUUCCAAGCUGUGUCUUGUUUACAAUGAUGUUCUCAUAGUCAGAUAUAUUUGCCCACUGUUUCCAAUUGUAGCACUUUGAUUUUCAGACUGUGGUACUGUUUGAUGUGGUCGCAGUUUAAUAGGGAGAACGAGUGGACCCCGAGAACGAUUACACGCAUUCAAGACAUCGUUAGCCACAGAAUCACCCAAUCGCACGACACUUUCCAGACUGUGGUACUGUUUGAUGUGGUCGCAGUUUAAUAGGGAGAACGAGUGGACCCCGAGAACGAUUACACGCAUUCAAGACAUCGUUAGCCACAGAAUCACCCAAUCGCACGACACUUUCCAGACUGUGGUACUGUUUGAUGUGGUCGCAGUUUAAUAGGGAGAACGAGUGGACCCCGAGAACGAUUACACGCAUUCAAGACAUCGUUAGCCACAGAAUCACCCAAUCGCACGACACUUUCCAGACUGUGGUACUGUUUGAUGUGGUCGCAGUUUAAUAGGGAGAACGAGUGGACCCCGAGAACGAUUACACGCAUUCAAGACAUCGUUAGCCACAGAAUCACCCAAUCGCACGACACUUUCCAGACUGUGGUACUGUUUGAUGUGGUCGCAGUUUAAUAGGGAGAACGAGUGGACCCCGAGAACGAUUACACGCAUUCAAGACAUCGUUAGCCACAGAAUCACCCAAUCGCACGACACUUUCCAGACUGUGGUACUGUUUGAUGUGGUCGCAGUUUAAUAGGGAGAACGAGUGGACCCCGAGAACGAUUACACGCAUUCAAGACAUCGUUAGCCACAGAAUCACCCAAUCGCACGACACUUUCCAGACUGUGGUACUGUUUGAUGUGGUCGCAGUUUAAUAGGGAGAACGAGUGGACCCCGAGAACGAUUCA